rnacentral:tRNA from 1 species
GCUAGCUCAGUUAGUAGAGCAUGAGACUCUUAAUCUCAGGGUCAUGGGUUCAUGCCCCAUGCA